rnacentral:ncRNA from 1 species
GGGCGGGAGUGCGGCUAAUAAAAGACCCGUAAGGGGAAUAUGCCCGCCGUCUGUUUGCGGUUUUGAGCUCCUGCCCGCCCGUCU